rnacentral:rRNA from 1 species
UACAGAGGUCUCAAGCGUUGUUCGGAUUCAUUGGGCGUAAAGGGUGCGUAGGUGGCGCCAUAGUCAGGUGUGAAAUUUCGGAGCUUAACUCCGAAACUGCACUUGAUACUGCGGUGCUUGAGGACUGGAGAGGAGACUGGAAUUCACGGUGUAGCAGUGAAAUGCGUAGAUAUCGUGAGGAAGACCAGUGGCGAAGGCGGGGUCUCUGGACAGUUCCUGACACUGAGGCACGAAAGCGUGGGGAGCAAACAGG